CAUAAAGACUCUGCGGAGAAGGUGGGUGGACAAAAACAGACUUUGACUUCGUAUCAGUCAACGUUGAAUCAGUCGGGACGGAUUCACCACUUGAAGCACUCACUGCCGUUUCAUCGCUCUCUACGCUAAGUUUGCUAACUUUUCGAUUUGGUAAACCUUCACCGUCUGAAAAUUUAUUACACAAUUCAGAAGGGCUUAGCUUCUUUCCGUCCAAAGAUGUGUGCA